rnacentral:rRNA from 1 species
UGGGGAAUUUUGCGCAAUGGGGGAAACCCUGACGCAGCAACGCCGCGUGGAGGAUGAAGUCCUUCGGGACGUAAACUCCUUUCGAUCGGGACGAUUAUGACGGUACCGGAAGAAGAAGCCCCGGCUAACUUCGUGCCAGCAGCCGCGGUAAUACGAGGGGGGCGAGCGUUGUUCGGAAUUAUUGGGCGUAAAGGGUGCGUAGGCGGUUUGGUAAGUCUUAUGUGAAAUCUAUGGGCUCAACUCAUAGACUGCAUGAGAAACUGCCGGGCUUGAGUAUGGGAGAGGUGAGUGGAAUUCCUGGUGUAGCGGUGAAAUGCGUAGAUAUCAGGAGGAACACCUGUGGCGAAAGCGGCUCACUGGACCAUAACUGACGCUGAUGCACGAAAGCUAGGGGAGCAAACAGGAUUAGAUACCCUGGUAGUCCUAGCCCUAAACGAUGACUGCUUGGUGUGACGGGUACCCAAUCCCGCCGUGCCGUAGCUAACGCGUUAAGCAGUCCGCCUGGGGAGUACGGUCGCAAGGCUG